CCUGGACCGCCACGCACCACGCUUUGUCGAGAUCUUCAAGGCAAAGAAAGGAAGUGUGGGACAGACCCUGACAGAGUUGGUGCAACAAAUUGAUGCAGGGAAACCAGAUGUGACAGCGGUACGCACCGUUGUACUCCGAGGCCUCCCUGUUCUACUUGGUGAUGACCCCAGUGACUUCUACAACACCUGCUUCGAUUGUGACACUGAUGAGACCUGGGUAAAAGUAUCUGUCGGGGUGCUGACUGUUCUCCCUGAAGAUCUGCAACUCCUUCCAAAUCAGCUCCACCUUCACCCAAUGUCUACUGCCAUCAUUGUUGAGGGAGGUAUUGUAAUGGAUGAACUCCAGAACCUACCUGAGGCACUUUGCCUUUUGUUUGGAAUGUCAUACGCUUUGCAUUUAGACUACCCUAAAGCCAUGAAAAACACUUUCUGCUUCAUUCAAAGAGUGAUGCUUGGCUUGGGAGAGGACAAACUCCCACCAAAAUUGCAAAGUCUUAAAAAUCUCUUGUUGAGUUAGAAUGCAAAUGUACGAGUGGAUUCAGUUGUUUUUUAUUGUUCACUAAAUUAACACAGUCCACUCAAAUUGUCAGCCCAUGGGUUCAUCAGCAAGUAUAGAGGCUGUACAUGCAUGUAUAUUCAUUCACAUAUAUGUGAGAUCCAUUGCCAGUUAUUACCCUGUCAGGUUUUUGCGUUCAUUGAGUAAAGCCACUUUGCACUUUUUUUUUAUUUUUUAUAUAUAUGUAGUUUUUAUUUAGUGAUUUUUGAGUAACAUUAUUCAGGAAUACAAAAGUGCACUUGUCAGCUUGUGGGUUAUUUCCCAUUGUUGGGAAAGAACUGUUAGUUGUUACAGUUUUAAGGCUGUGUUUACUGUAUUAUUGAUCUUGAUAUUGAUAUUGAGCUAUGUUUGUGGAUGUCUUUCAAGGCAAUCUUUAAGAAAAAAAGUUGAUA